rnacentral:rRNA from 1 species
GUGGGGAAUAUUGGACAAUGGGCGAAAGCCUGAUCCAGCCAUGCCGCGUGAGUGAUGAAGGCCCUAGGGUUGUAAAGCUCUUUCACCGGGGAAGAUAAUGACGGUACCCGGAGAAGAAGCCCCGGCUAACUUCGUGCCAGCAGCCGCGGUAAUACGAAGGGGGCUAGCGUUGUUCGGAAUUACUGGGCGUAAAGCGCACGUAGGCGGAUCAGUCAGUUAGGGGUGAAAUCCCAGGGCUCAACCCUGGAACUGCCUUUAAUACUGCUGAUCUAGAGUUCGAGAGAGGUGAGUGGAAUUCCGAGUGUAGAGGUGAAAUUCGUAGAUAUUCGGAGGAACACCAGUGGCGAAGGCGGCUCACUGGCUCGAUACUGACGCUGAGGUGCGAAAGCGUGGGGAGCAAACAGGAUUAGAUACCCUUGUAGUCC